rnacentral:rRNA from 1 species
CUACGGGGCGCAGCAGUCGAGAAUCUUUUGCAAUGCCCGACAGGGUGACAAUGCGACGCCGCGUGAGCGAUGAAGGCCUUCGGGUUGUAAAGCUCUGUCAGCCGGGAUGAAGACGUGUGGAUUAACAACCCAUAUGGUUGACGGUACCGGCAAAGGAAGCCACGGCUAACUCCGUGCCAGCAGCCGCGGUAAUACGGAGGUGGCAAGCGUUGUUCGGAUUUACUGGGUGUAAAGGACAUGUAGGUGUCCUGUUAAGUCGGACGUGAAAUCCCAUGGCUCAACCAUGGAACUGCAUCCGAUACUGGCAGGAUCGAGUACGGGAGAGGCAAGCGGAAUUCCAGAAGUAAGGGUGAAAUCUGUAGAUAUCUGGAGGAACACCAUUAGCGAAGGCGGCUUACUGGCCCGAUACUGACACUGAAAUGUGAAAGCUAGGGGAGCAAACAGGAUUAGAUACCCGAGUAGUC